AAGAGCGGCUCGUCGGCCGGUUGCGCCGCGGUGGGACGGGGCGCCUCGGCCAUGGAGGUCAAGACGCUAGAGGAAUAACGAUGAGUUCACGAGAGUACUUAAGUGGAUACCAAAAACGCAACUCAAGGAAAAGCGAUCUGACAAAAUUUCUAAAUGUCAAAAACUAACAAACUAUUUUGCAAUGUCAAGUUUGUCAACACCUACAGUUGAAACAAGCCAAGCAAACACCAUUGAAGCCAGUGAUAGUGCACUAACCAUGGGAGCAUUUUCUAGCAAUAUUCAACCCAUUGUUGAUGCUUUUGAUACAGAUGACGAUCACAGUGGUCAACAUGAAAGUACUGCGGAACAAGCAGGGACUGAGCAGAAACAUAAAACAGGACGCAAAUUCAGUGAUUUCACUGAAAACUGUGACCUCAAAAACUGGCCCAUAACAGUUGAUAAUGAUUUCAUACAGAAUUGUUUAAUGCAAGACAUAGGUUUUGUUUAA